AUUGAACGCUGGCGGCAGGCCUAACACAUGCAAGUCGAACGAGUGGCGGACGGGUGAGUAAUGUCUGGGAAACUGCCCGAUGGCGGGGGAUAACUACUGGAAACGGUAGCUAAUACCGCAUACCAUCGGAUGUGCCCAGAUGGGAUUAGCUAGGAGGUGGGGUAACGGCUCACCUGGGCGACGAUCCCUAGCGGGUCGGAGAGGAUGACCAGCCACACUGGAACUGAGAGACGGUCCAGAUUCCGACGGGAGGCAGCAGUGGGUAAUAUUGCACAAUGGGCGCAAGCCUGAUGCAGCCAUGCCGCGUGUAUGAAGAAGGCCUUCGGGUUGUAAAGUACUUUCAGCGAGGAGGCGUUACUCGCAGAAGAAGCACCGGCUAACUCCGUGCCAGCAGCCGCGGUAAAC
rnacentral:rRNA from 1 species